rnacentral:rRNA from 1 species
GGAAUAUUGGGCAAUGGAGGAAACUCUGACCCAGCGACGCCGCGUGCGGGAUGAAGGCCUUCGGGUUGUAAACCGCUUUCAGUAGGGAAGAAGCGAAAGUGACGGUACCUACAGAAGAAGCACCGGCUAACUAUGUGCCAGCAGCCGCGGUAAUACAUAGGGUGCAAGCGUUGUCCGGAAUUAUUGGGCGUAAAGAGCUCGUAGGUGGUUUGAUACGUCGGGUGUGAAAUUCAGGGGCUCAACCCCUGACCUGCAUUCGAUACGGUCAAGCUAGAGUUUGGUAGGGGAGACUGGAAUUCCUGGUGUAGCGGUGGAAUGCGCAGAUAUCAGGAGGAACACCGAUGGCGAAGGCAGGUCUCUGGGCCAAUACUGACACUGAGGAGCGAAAGCGUGGGGAGCGAACAGGAUUAGAUACCCUGGUAGUCCACGCCGUAAACGAUGGGCGCUAGUUGUGCGAACCUUCCACGGUUUGUGCGACGCAGCUAACGCAUUAAGCGCCCCGCCUGGGGAGUACGAUCGCAAGAUUAAAACU